rnacentral:tRNA from 1 species
CGGAGUGUAGCGCAGUCCGGUUAGCGCACCUGCUUUGGGAGCAGGGGGUCGGGAGUUCAAAUCUCUCCACUCCGA